rnacentral:rRNA from 1 species
AUUGAACGCUGGCGGAAUGCUUUACACAUGCAAGUCGAACGGCAGCACGGACUUCGGUCUGGUGGCGAGUGGCGAACGGGUGAGUAAUGUAUCGGAACGUGCCCAGUCGUGGGGGAUAACGUAGUGAAAAUUACGCUAAUACCGCAUACGAUCUAUGGAUGAAAGCGGGGGAUCGCAAGACCUCGCGCGAUUGGAGCGGCCGAUAUCAGAUUAGGUAGUUGGUGGGGUAAAGGCCCACCAAGCCAACGAUCUGUAGCUGGUCUGAGAGGACGACCAGCCACACUGGAACUUGGACACGGUCCAGACUCCUACGAGAGGCAGCAGUGGGGAAUUUUGGACAAUGGGCGAAAGCCUGAUCCAGCCAUUCCGCGUGCAGGAUGAAGGCCCUCGGGUUGUAAACUGCUUUUGUACAGAACGAAAAGGUUUCUACUAAUACUAGGAGCUCAUGACGGUACUGUAAGAAUAAGCACCGGCUAACUACGUGCCAGCAGCCGCGGUAA